UACGUAGGGCGCAAGCGUUGUCCGGAAUUAUUGGGCGUAAAGAGCUCGUAGGCGGUUUGUCGCGUCUGCUGUGAAAACCUAAGGCUCAACCUUGGGCUUGCAGUGGGUACGGGCAGACUAGAGUGCGGUAGGGGUGACUGGAAUUCCUGGUGUAGCGGUGGAAUGCGCAGAUAUCAGGAGGAACACCAACGGCGAAGGCAGCACUCUGGGCCGGAACUGACGCUGAGGAGCGAAAGCGUGGGUAGCGAACAGG
rnacentral:rRNA from 1 species